GUAAAUAAUGUCAGAAUAAAGUUUAGAAGUCCUUUGCUGGUUAGUUGAUAUACUGCUGAUAGUCAAAUCAUUGUUGUUCUUGUAUUGAUGUAAUCAUUUUCUUUGUUUUAACAGGGUCAGCAAAAUGCUCAUCAAUGUCCAGUACCAUGGAGAAAAAAGUACCUCAAACUGCAGCCUGGUUUUUCCUUUCAAAGUUUAAUUCGAGAAGGCACAUCAAUCCAUUGGUGCAAAAGAAGAGAACACCUCUGCCAUAGGAGAUUCAGCAGAAAAAGGCCAAACAGAUGGUCCAGGAGGUUCUGGAGAAGAGUUAAAUGGGAGAGGAAAUAAUGGAGGAGUAUAGUAGAGCACCUUGACACACUGUACAAGAAGGCAUCUUCUGAAUAUCCUGGUCCAUGGGUAUGUUUUGUUUUGAAUAAAUUAA